rnacentral:misc_RNA from 1 species
GAUGAAGAACGUAGUGAAAUGCGAUAAAUAAUGUGAAUUGCAGAAUUCAGUGAAUCAUCGAGUCUUUGAACGCACAUUGCGCCCCCUGGUAUUCCGGGGGGCAUGCCUGUCCGAGCGUCAUUGCUGCCCUCAAGCACGGCUUGUGUGUUGGGCCCCCGUCCCCCCCUCCCGGGGGACGGGCCCGAAAGGCAGCGGCGGCACCGCGUCCGGUCCUCGAGCGUAUGGGGCUUUGUCACCCGCUCUGUAGGCCCGGCCGGCGCCUGCCGACCACCAUCAAUCUUUUUUCCAGGUUGACCUCGGAUCAGGUAGGGAUACCCGCUGAACUUAAGCAUAUCAAUAAGCGGAAGA